UACGUAGGGUCCGAGCGUUGUCCGGAAUUACUGGGCGUAAAGAGCUCGUAGGUGGUUUGUCGCGUUGUUCGUGAAAACUCACAGCUCAACUGUGGGCGUGCGGGCGAUACGGGCAGACUUGAGUACUGCAGGGGAGACUGGAAUUCCUGGUGUAGCGGUGGAAUGCGCAGAUAACAGGAGGAACACCGGUGGCGAAGGCGGGUCUCUGGGCAGUAACUGACGCUGAGGAGCGAAAGCGUGGGGAGCGAACAGG
rnacentral:rRNA from 1 species